UGAAACUGUUAGUCCAAAAUGGAUUGUAACCGACGGCGGUAAAGAGAACUUACUAAUAUAUAGGGAAAUAUAUCGGCUGCAAGGAGAUAGAGAAAUAUUGAUAUACAACGUGAACAUUAAUGAGAGUUUGAACUGCCGAAAUGAACUGUGAUAAAGAAAAAGAAAAUGAGUUUUACUUAAGCUCAACAUUAUCCGAACAAAAUAACAGUCAAAAGUGUGCUGGUAAAUAUAUUUGAAUUACACGUAUUUGUAUACAUUCAUUAUGUAUACAUAGUAUACAUAGUAUACAUGUAUACUAGAGAUGCCCAAUUUUUAAUCGAUUCGAUUCUUUCCCUAACAAAUUUAGGGAAAAAGGGUUGCUCGUGCUGCUUGCAUGUUUCAUACUUUUCGCUUUUAAAAAGAGAUGGACGCCUAAUCAGACGCUUGGAAGAAACAAUCGAGUUAGUUAUCUUGCUUUUGCUUCUUCCAAACAUUCCAAUAUACUUUUGUCUGGUUUUAAAUACGAAAAGUGCGAAGAAUGCAAACAACACGAAUAAACCUAUUUUUGGGGAAAGAAUCGAAUUGAUUCAGAAUCGGGUAUCUCUAAUGUAUACAUAGGCUGCGGUCCGAUUCACGCUUAUAGCGCUUAUAACGCGCUCACGGCCGGUCCGAUUUACACUCACGAUGUUCUCGUGAGCAUAGUGACGUCAUAGAUUAUGCUGCUUAGGGCUAUCGCACACAAAUUGACAUAACUGCAUAUGCAUAGCAUAAGACCGUAUGUAGCAAUGAGCAUCGAGUAUUAAGUCGCCAUAUUGGUGUUCGAUGCUUAAUAUUCGAUGCUCAUUGGUCCAUACGAUCUUAUGCUAUGCAUAUGCAGUUAUGUCAAUUUGUGUGCGAUAGCCCUUACAGUGCUCACGGUGCCCAUGAUACGGAGGUGGGUCACCGUGAGCACGUACGUUAGAUGAGUGGGAAGAUGUGAGUGCUGUGGGUGAUGUAAGCGUGAAUCGGACUGCAGGGAGUCGAUUCUAUAUCUCGAAGUGAAAGUUACAAAAGUGAGCAAAUUUACAAGAAUAUUCGUAAUUUCAUUGGUCAGUGCCUAGUAAAUGUGCUUACUUUUAUAAUUUUUACUUCGUUUUGAGAUACAAAAUUGACCCCCAGCUUAAGCACUUAGUGAGUGGUUCUGAUACUGGGUGCAAUUAACAGCUUAUAAGGAAAAGAAAGCAAUUUCAGAAAUAAUGUCUAAAAUGUUAAAAUUAAUAUCUGUGCCUAUAUAUAUAGAAGAAAGGAAUGAAACAAUAAAUUUAAAACUCUUACCACAAGAUGCAGCAAGGGUUACUACAAGUAAAAAAUGAAAACAUUGAUAAUAAUAAGAUUGUGCUAUAAUAAUGUAUACAUCUGUGAUACAUGUGUGGAUAUGCGCUAUAAUAAUGUAUACAUCUGUGUUAAAUGAAAAGGGUAAUUCUUAAUUAUUUCAAGAUGCAAAUUAUAUGGAACAACUCGUUAUGGAUUAUUGUAAAAAAAAAUAAAGAUUUUGAAAAGCAAUGAAAUAUGGAAAUUUCAAAUAAUGGAAACAAUGCAAAUGAUUGAUGUAAUAGAUCCUCCGUUCAUAAGUAAUGCAUGUAAUAUUUUAUCCUUAGAGACAGAAGAAUGUGAUAGUAAUCCUAAAAAUAUAGGUCAGUAUAAUUAUAAAAAAAACACAAAGUGUUCUUAAAUUUAAUGUUCACAUUGUUUGUAUAAAAACAUUUUCCCAUAAAAAUAUCUAAUUCUAAUAAAUGAAAAGUCAUUAUUUAUAUGGCCAUCGAAAUGUAUAUACUUACUGCUUGAUAAAUAUGAGGAACAGAAAGAAGAAUUCACAGGAGACAUGAAACAUCAUAACAAAAUAUAGGAUGCCAUUGCUGAUGAUAUUAGAAAAAUAAAUAUGGAAUAUACAAUGAACGAACGAAUUACAGUGUCAAUCAAAAUUCAAUAGCUUAAAAAAAACAUACAAAAAAAUAUUAGAUUAUAAUUCUGUGUCAGGAAAUGACAGGAAGAUGUGGCCAUAUUUAGAAAGAAUGCAUGAAAUCUUUGGGAAAUCAGGAUGAGCAAAUCCCAAAGCUAUCGCUUCAGAAGCUGGACCAUGUCAAGAGACAACUUCAUCUGGAUCUGGGACAAGUGAUUAUGAGGAUAAAAAGAAGCAUAAAAAACAAAUUUGAGAGUGUUCUGAAUAAUUUUAUGUUAGAUGAAAGAGGAAAGAGUACAAAGAGAAAAAAGAAGGGAAGCUAAAGACACAUGGUUUCAAGAGCUGAAACAA